ACCCGCUGAACUUAAGCAUAUCAAUAAGCGGAGGAAAAGAAACCAACAGGGAUCGCCCUAGUAACGGCGAGUGAAGCGGCAACAGCUCAAAUUUGAAAUCUGGCUCUUUUAGAGUCCGAGUUGUAAUUUGCAGAGGGCGCUUUGGCUUUGGCAGCGGUCCAAGUUCCUUGGAACAGGACGUCACAGAGGGUGAGAAUCCCGUACGUGGUCGCUGGCUAUUGCCGUGUAAAGCCCCUUCGACGAGUCGAGUUGUUUGGGAAUGCAGCUCUAAAUGGGAGGUACAUUUCUUCUAAAGCUAAAUAUUGGCCAGAGACCGAUAGCGCACAAGUAGAGUGAUCGAAAGAUGAAAAGCACUUUGGAAAGAGAGUCAAACAGCACGUGAAAUUGUUGAAAGGGAAGCGCUUGCAGCCAGACUUGCUUACAGUUGCUCAUCCGGGUUUCUACCCGGUGCACUCUUCUGUAGGCAGGCCAGCAUCAGUUUGGGCGGUAGGAUAAAGGUCUCUGUCACGUACCUCCUUUCGGGGAGGUCUUAUAGGGGAGACGACAUACUACCAGCCUGGACUGAGGUCCGCGCAUCUGCUAGGAUGCUGGCGUAAUGGCUGU
rnacentral:rRNA from 1 species